rnacentral:ncRNA from 1 species
CGUUCACCACGCAACACGCGUGGCGCAGUACGACUCAGGCCAUGGAACGGGGACCUGA